rnacentral:rRNA from 1 species
AGUGAACGCUGGCGGUAGGCCUAACACAUGCAAGUCGAACGGCAGCACAGGAGAGCUUGCUCUCUGGGUGGCGAGUGGCGGACGGGUGAGGAAUACAUCGGAAUCUACUCUGUCGUGGGGGAUAACGUAGGGAAACUUACGCUAAUACCGCAUACGACCUACGGGUGAAAGCAGGGGACCUUCGGGCCUUGCGCGGUUGAAUGAGCCGAUGUCGGAUUAGCUAGUUGGCGGGGUAAAGGCCCACCAAGGCGACGAACCGUAGCUGGUCUGAGAGGAUGAUCAGCCACACUGGAACUGAGACACGGUCCAGACUCCUACGGGAGGCAGCAGUGGGGAAUAUUGGACAAUGGGCGCAAGCCUGAUCCAGCCAUACCGCGUGGGUGAAGAAGGCCUUCGGGUUGUAAAGCCCUUUUGUUGGGAAAGAAAUCCAGCUGGCUAAUACCCGGUUGGGAUGACGGUACCCAAAGAAUAAGCACCGGCUAACUUCGUGCCAGCCGCCGCGGUAA